AUUGAACGCUGGCGGCAGGCCUAACACAUGCAAGUCGGACGGUAGCACAGAGAGCUUGCUCUUGGGUGACGAGUGGCGGACGGGUGAGUAAUGUCUGGGGAUCUGCCCGAUAGAGGGGGAUAACCACUGGAAACGGUGGCUAAUACCGCAUAACGUCGCAAGACCAAAGAGGGGGACCUUCGGGCCUCUCACUAUCGGAUGAACCCAGAUGGGAUUAGCUAGUAGGCGGGGUAAUGGCCCACCUAGGCGACGAUCCCUAGCUGGUCUGAGAGGAUGACCAGCCACACUGGAACUGAGACACGGUCCAGACUCCUACGGGAGGCAGCAGUGGGGAAUAUUGCACAAUGGGCGCAAGCCUGAUGCAGCCAUGCCGCGUGUAUGAAGAAGGCCUUCGGGUUGUAAAGUACUUUCAGCGGGGAGGAAGGCGACGGGGUUAAUAACCCUGUCGAUUGACGUUACCCGCAGAAGA
rnacentral:rRNA from 1 species